CGGCGGACGGGUGAGUAACGCGUGGGUAACCUGCCUCAUACAGGGGGACAACAGUUGGAAACGGCUGCUAAUACCGCAUAAGCGCACAGUACCGCAUGGUACCGUGUGAAAAACUCCGGUGGUAUGAGAUGGACCCGCGUCUGAUUAGGUAGUUGGUGGGGUAACGGCCUACCAAGCCGACGAUCAGUAGCCGACCUGAGAGGGUGACCGGCCACAUUGGGACUGAGACACGGCCCAAACUCCUACGGGAGGCAGCAUG
rnacentral:rRNA from 1 species